AUGUCUGAUGUUGGUAGCAGCCUUGGUAGCGCAGCCGGUGGUGGAGAAGAUGGCAGGGCAAUCUCUGAUGGGUCUGAAGUUCAGAUAGAGGACCAGCAACCAGUCCCCCCACCUAUGCCAACAUCUCGGAUCUCUGUGAAACAUGCAGUUGAAGUCAUUCAGACGUUUGAUGAGUACAAGAGGUGGUUGGUACAAGAAAUCGGGUUUGGUGGAAUGUUGAAGUUGCCCAUGCGGCAGAAGCUUAAUCUCAAAUUCAGUGCAUGGACAAUGAGCAAGGUUAGUGUAUCUCAGUGCGCAAUUAUAUUAAUCUCAAAGAAGCUGAAGUUCUGGCCGGAGGAUGUGCACAAAGUAUUUGGGAUACUUUGCGGUCACCGCUCUAUCCGGGGGCGUGAUGGUCACAUAACGCCUGAUGCAAUUCAAUUCUUCAAGAAGACUCUCGGGAUGGACAAAAAAGGUGUUCAUAGCCUGCGAGCCGCGGAGGAGUUCCUACUACGAGAUGUAUCAGAGACAUCUAGCAAGCUUGAGAAGGAUUGUUUUCAAAUUGCUUUCGUCAUUUUUGUCAUGGGACACGUGCUUGCGCCAACCACAAAGCAUGAUUAUGCCACCAUUGAUUUUUGGGGUGCCCUUGCAAACACCGAAACAAUAUCACAGUUCAAUUGGUGUGAGUACGUGCUUCAGUGCUUGCUAGAAGUUGUUAGACGUCUCAAGAAGGACAUGCUUUCAAACAAUCCAGGCACUAACCUUGUUGGUUGUCACCUUUUUCUUCAGGUGUUCUUCCUGCACAGUAUUGACUUAGGCAUUUUCAAUAAGAAGCAUAAUGUGCUCCCCGUAUAA
rnacentral:rRNA from 1 species